ensembl:lncRNA
UAUUUUUAUUAUAAAUAUGUAAGAAAAAUUGUGUAUGUUUCUGUUCUGUGUCCUGUCUACUGUUUGUUUGUUUGUAUAUGUGUCUUUUUGGCUGCUGUUACAACCAAAUUUCCCCUUGUGGGACAAUUAAAGGAUUAUUCUAUUCUAUUAGGACAUAAACUAUGUAACCAGCAGAGGAAGUAACAAUUAAUUAAAAAAUAAACAAAACACUGAUGAGAGCGAGAUCGUUUCACACAACUGCACGUUUUGCACAAUUAUAUAUUUUUUGUAACGCUCUUAGAAUAAAGCUUUACGACAUAUCUUGGGGAGGAGUACAAAGACAUUUUCUUAAAUUUUCAUGUGGAUGUACGCAGGCACACACUGAUAAAAUAAGAGCAGGAAGUAUUCAAAGGCAUUAACCGCUCAACCAGGAAACAGUAUUUCCUUGUAGGGCUGACAAGUCUAACCAAGUCAUUUGCAUGUCUCUCCUUUGCUCAGUCAUGUUUACAGUGUGGGAAGAGAGCGCAAUGAAAACUGCUCUCUGUGCUGAUCCAGUUAUAGGCUGAACUGUCUUGGUGCUGGUUCCACAACAAUGUGAAGCCUGAAAUUCACACUGUUGUCUCCGUCCUACCUUCCUUUCAUGGCGUUUGAAGGAGCUGCGGCCAAAAGGGCCAAACUCAUUGCAUCCAGGGUCCACUGGGGAAACACGGGCCUAUGUGUUUCCAUUAUAGACCAGGACACUCACGGAAAUCCAAGUCAGGACAGUAUUGGGAAGUGGCUCAGCACCAAUGUCACCCAGGAAGAUGCAAAGCAAGAGCCACUGCAGGAAGACGCAGGGCCUCUGCAGAGGAACCCCAGCAGUGACGAUGACUUGGCGCUGGGUGUAGAAGCGUCUUUAUAUGCCAAACAAGGAGUGAAGACGGUCCAGGAGUUUUUGCGGUAAGGAGAUGGCUCUUGAUCAUUUUUCUGUCAGUCAUACAGAACCACACAGACAGCAGUAGAGAUGGAGUCUGUUGUGACACAGCACAGUGCUACAUUUAAAAUGUAUUUACAGAAGAAUACGUCAUAAUCAGCCAGCAUAGACGGAUGAGUCUGUUGUUAUGUUAUCAGUGAAGGUGAUUUGAAUAUGAAAGUUUUGAUCUUUUUAAAUCAAAGACUAACUAUUGAUGAUGCUUUUAGAGGUUGGAUCAAAUUUAAUAUGGUGAAAUUUAAGGUGGAAACUAAUUGAGGUAUGUGCCAAAGUUUAAUUUCUCCAUGAACAAUAUUUUAGGGUGCACAAUAGCAAUAGUAAGAUGUUUAUUAUAGUUCAGAGCUAAGGAGUUUCCAAAUCUGACUAUAACCGACCCGGUGGCAUGGUAAUUAGCUCUGUUGUCUCACAGCAAGAAGGUUGUGAGUCCGGCUGUUUCUGUGUGGAGUUUGCAUGUUAUCCCCAUGGCUGUGGGUACUCCGGCUCCCUCCUACAGUCCAAAGACAUGCAGUGCUGAACCUAAAUUGCCCAUAGGUGUGCAUGGUUGUCUGUCUCGUUGUGUUAGGCCUGCGUCAGGCUGUCAGCCUGUCCAGGGUGUACCCCGCCUCUCGCCCAUUGCUAGCUGGGACAGGCUCCAGCCCCCCCCUCAGCCCUGACAAGGAGAAUGGAUGGAUGGAACUAUAACCUACUAAAAACUAUAAAACUAGGAAUUUUUUUUAAUAAAAGCAAAGACUUUCACGGUUUAACUCAGUGCCAGAGAGAGGCUGCUACAAACACAUAUUACAUAACUUUCAGUUGAAGCAGACUAUAAGAUAUUAUAUAUCAUUAUAUUAAGUAGAGCUAAUGCUAAGUGGUCAGUGAGUGCCACUUCAAAACUGUGCUUCAUUAGAAUUAAUAAAACAUGUUACAGUGAUAUUGUCUGUUUUCUGUGCAUAAAGUUAAAAAAAAACAUAUUCAGGCAGUGAUACCAGCAUCUAAAACUACAAAUAUAGUUGGACAACUACAAGUAAUAUUUACUAGGCAAAUAAGCUUACUCUCCCCCUCUGCAAAGCACAUAGUUUGCAUGGAAAGUAAAAGGAUCAUGGAAAAGCUAUUAGAAUGCUUGACAGCUGUACAAUAAAUAUCAGCCAAGAGCAAAGGGAUCAAAGACAACAGGCUAAAUCGGGUAGUGAUCACGAAAGACCAGCAGAAGAUGUGAGUGCACAAUUAAAGGUGUUUUUUCUCUUUUCUUUCUCUCUUUUAGUCUUGGCAAACAGUAUGAUUAGCAGGUCUGGACUUUGAGAGUUUGGGAUUGUUGCUUUUGGCAGCUUAAAAUAUUAAUCAGACCUAAUAUGGUUGAAAUACCCAAACACUGUACUCUAAUGUGACUUGAAUGUUUCCAAAUAAGCAUAAUAAAUAAAAUAUAACUAAAUGUAGGUAUCUAUCAUAAAGUUUGAGCCUUUAAAAAAUAUAAUGCAAUAAUCCACACAUCUUGCGAUUUACUGUGUGACUAGUUGAUGUAUUGUGUAUCAUCAGGUGUCAUUGUCUCGUGGUUACCACCUGGUUAAUCAUGAAUAUGUAACUGAGUGACUUCAUCUAUAAAAGCUUUUUAAGGAAAUGUUUUUAAACUAGAGCUGCACCAUCGUCGCUAAUUCAGAUUUGAACCUGCCAAAUCAAGUUUUGCAGAUUCUGAUUUCCUUUCUAAAAGGUAUAACUGACAGCAUAUGCAAAUAAAAC